GGACGGUAGCACAGAGGAGCUUGCUCCUUGGGUGACGAGUGGCGGACGGGUGAGUAAUGUCUGGGGAUCUGCCCGAUAGAGGGGGAUAACCACUGGAAACGGUGGCUAAUACCGCAUAACGUCGCAAGACCAAAGAGGGGGACCUUCGGGCCUCUCACUAUCGGAUGAACCCAGAUGGGAUUAGCUAGUAGGCGGGGUAAUGGCCCACCUAGGCGACGAUCCCUAGCUGGUCUGAGAGGAUGACCAGCCACACUGGAACUGAGACACGGUCCAGACUCCUACGGGAGGCAGCAGUGGGGAAUAUUGCACAAUGGGCGCAAGCCUGAUGCAGCCAUGCCGCGUGUAUGAAGAAGGCCUUCGGGUUGUAAAGUACUUUCAGCGGGGAGGAAGGCGAUGCGGUUAAUAACCGCGUCGAUUGACGUUACCCGCAGAAGAAGCACCGGCUAACUCCGUGCCAGCAGCCGCGGUAAUACGGAGGGUGCAAGCGUUAAUCGGAAUUACUGGGCGUAAAGCGCACGCAGGCGGUCUGUCAAGUCGGAUGUGAAAUCCCCGGGCUCAACCUGGGAACUGCAUUCGAAACUGGCAGGCUAGAGUCUUGUAGAGGGGGGUAGAAUUCCAGGUGUAGCGGUGAAAUGCGUAGAGAUCUGGAGGAAUACCGGUGGCGAAGGCGGCCCCCUGGACAAAGACUGACGCUCAGGUGCGAAAGCGUGGGGAGCAAACAGGAUUAGAUACCCUGGUAGUCCACGCCGUAAACGAUGUCGACUUGGAGGUUGUGCCCUUGAGGCGUGGCUUCCGGAGCUAACGCGUUAAGUCGACCGCCUGGGGAGUACGGCCGCAAGGUUAAAACUCAAAUGAAUUGACGGGGGCCCGCACAAGCGGUGGAGCAUGUGGUUUAAUUCGAUGCAACGCGAAGAACCUUACCUACUCUUGACAUCCAGCGAACUUUCCAGAGAUGGAUUGGUGCCUUCGGGAACGCUGAGACAGGUGCUGCAUGGCUGUCGUCAGCUCGUGUCGUGAGAAGG
rnacentral:rRNA from 1 species